AUGUCCAGCAAGGGGGCAGACUCCAUCAUACAGCUACGCUGGGAAGCAAUGCAGAAGAAGCAGGGGCCAGGAGAAGGCAUGUCUGGGACUAGUGUGAAUCAUCCUGUGGCCAUCAGACUACUAGCAACCAAAGUAAAAUGGCAAAGAUGCUGUAUGUGGAAUGUUAGUGAAAAGGUAAGCUGGUUAGAACAGAUCCACACCUCCUAAUGACAAACACAGUAUUGAAAUGCCAAGCCAUGAAUCUUCAUCAAAUGGAAAGUCUUCAGAAAUAUGGAAUACAUUUAUAGGAUUUUGUCUCUUGCCUUGAUUUGCAAUGUGGAGCUUCCAUUGCUUCUGUCAUUGUAGUUUUUUAUUAAUUUUUUAAACAUUUCCUGCAGAGUGAGUCUCCCAGCAGAAGUUCCUGUUCAUACUAUCGGUAGCCUAUAACCUUCAUAGUCAAGUCUGUUUUCAAAUUGCUUUUCCACAUUAUGAUGUUCCUUGACAUUUGCAAAAGGUGGCAUCAGUUCCCCCUUGCAGGUCUAGGGGCCAAGAGCAACCCAAUCGGGGUGCACGGUCACAAGUGUAGAAAUAUCAGGACCCAUGUGGAAAAGAGGAGUUUUGUCCCAGACAGUUAGAGGUAGAAAAACAGAGGAAACCAUGUACUGAGCCUGAAGAGCAUAGCUGCAAAUUUGCUGCUGCUCAUCACAUCAUAAGUGAUCAAAGGGAAAGUCUAAAAGGGAGAAAAUCCCCAAAAUGCAAGAAGGAAGAAGGAUGAGAAUAGGAGGGUUGGUGGUUCUCAGCAAGAAAGUGCUGGUGUUUCUCUACUGUGUGAUGCCUGCUGUGAAUGUAGCUGCUGAGCAGGCUUACAGAGCCAUGUCCAUCACUCCAUCCAGCAAUAAGGAAGGCUCUAUGCCCUAAGCUACCCUUGUAAAAUGGUUCCAAAUAGCCGCCAAUUGAUGUCACUGAGCAGCAUGCUGGAGGUGUUGGCUUUAUGUCUUGUGCCAGCCAUCCUCUGCCAGGGCACUGCAGCCUUUCCAGCUGCCCCUCCUUGACCUUCUCAGCAGACAUAUUCAUCAGCUCAAUCCAACUGGAUCCCAGAGGCUUACUCUUUAUUUCCAAUAUAUACAACGCAGGAGUUGCCCAAGGUUGUUGGCAUGCAAGUGAGAGCUGGUGAAUACCAGACAAAAAAAUAAGGGGCUAAUUGAUAGCCACUAGGUCCUUGUCCCAU
rnacentral:lncRNA from 12 species